CCUGACCCCUAGAGGCAUUGUAGGUGUGGCUGCUGUGUCAUUUGUCCAUCAGUAGGUGGCAGAGAGGAGAGAGGAAGCUAUGUCUAUACUCAGUGUUCUGAGCUGUGAAAAUCUGAAUGGUUACUAGCCUAACACU